rnacentral:lncRNA from 12 species
AUCCCUGGCAGGGAAUCCUUUCCAAUCCCAUUCCCAUCGCAAAUGGGAUUCCCUGGAGCUGUUCCUGCUUAGAGCAGAGGGAAUUUUGGGGCAAAAUCAACGCGGGUGGGUGAUGCCCAAACCCAGGGAAGGGAAAAUUCCCUCACCCGGGAACGGGGAGCGGCUCUGCCCCAAAAUUCCAGCCAGGUUUAAUCCCAGCCUAAACCUCCGAGUCCCGAAUAUCCCUCAGGAUCCACCGGGAGCAGCUGCGGGGUGCAGGGAGGGGCUCGGGGGCUGUCCCUGCUGUCACCUCGCUGUCACAGCCCCCUCCCCGGGUCUGGAAUGAGGCAGGAACCCCCAAAAUCCGGGAGCAGCCGAAGCCGAGGGAAGCAGCGGGCUGUGCCUGAGCCGACAGUGCCACCUGCUGCCACCGCGCUGGGGACAGCGACAGGGACAGGGACGGGAUGGGGACAGGGAUGGGACAGGGAUGGGGACAAGGACAGGGAGGUGACAGCACAGGGAGGUGACAGGACAGGGCCAGCUCCUCCUUCCCUUCCGCUGGGGUUCUCCCAAUUUCCCAGCAGGAGAUUUCUGUGGCCAAGGGGGCACGGCUCUGCAAAAAACCCCAAAAACUUCCCUAAAAAAACCCCUCAAGAAUCCUCACAACUGCUCCAAAAAACCCGAGGAGGUGACAAGGACAGGGACAAGGACAGGGAAGGGGACAGGACAUGGACAGGGAUGGGGACAGAACAUGACAGGGAUGGGACAGGGAUGGGGACAAGGACAGGGAGGUGACAGGACAGGGCCAGCUCCUCCUUCCCUUCCGCUGGGAUUCUCCCAAUUUCCCAGCAGGAGAUUUCUGUGGCCAAGGGGGCACGGCUCUGCAAAAAACCCCAAAAACUUCCCCAAAAAAACCCCUCAAGAAUCCUCACAACUGCUCCAAAAAACCCGAACCCCCCCACAAAAACACUUCAUAAUCCCCCUAAAAACUGGUGAGGUGACAACACCUCGAAAAUCCCCUCAUAAUCCCUAAAAAAACCUCCUCAAAAAACCCAAAACCCCCCAAAAAACUCCUCAGAAAACACAACUCCUCCCCAAAAUCUCCUCACAACCCCCCAAAAAUCCUGACAAACCUUAAAAUAAACCCCUCAUAACCCCCAAAAAAUCCCUUAAAAAUCCUUCGAAACCCCCUAAAAAACCCCUCAAAAAUCCACUCAAAACCCCAUCACAAACCCUUCAUAACCCCCCAAAAAACCCACUCAAAACCCUCCAAAAAUCCCCCUCAAAAAUCUCCUCACAAACCCCUCAUAACCCCCCAAAAAACUCCUCACAAACCCCCCCCCCCCCCCCCCCCCCCCCCCCCCCCCCCCCCCCCCCCCCCCCC